AUUUUCACUGCUUCAGCUUGCCCAAGAGAUAGACUCUCCAUAAAUACAUUAUGCUAUGUUCUGUUUGAAGAAUUUGGCAAAAUGGAGAAGAGAUUCACUUGAAAAAUGACACAUGAGGUAAAGGAAUCCCUCAGGGAAGAGGGUCCUGUAAAAUUCUUAAAGCCAGUUAAAUUAUGAAGAAAAAGGAUUGGAAUCAUACAAAGUUGCAUUUGGACCUAUGUUCAUUCCACCAGUACUUCUUCCAUGCUGUCUGGACAAGGUCUGUUUCUCUCAAAAUGCCUCCUGAUCUCUUUUGUGCACUGAGAAGGACCACACUAGCCAUACUGCGUGACACUGGAUUUACAUCUCAGUAUCUUUAUCUACAAACUUGCCUGGCACCAUAAGCAUUGCAUUUGAGAAGAUUCUUAAGACUGUCAGCUCUCAAGGAUAUGCACAGGUCAUCAGUUUUCCAGGUGACCUUGAUUAAAAGGUGGAAUACAGCAUUUCAGCAUGAUCAUCCAUCUCAAGCAACACAUGCUGAGGAAUUCAUGAACCCAGUAACUGCUGCACAAGGAAACAUAAGCUGGCAACUUGCCUUUCUAAAGCAGACUAUAAAAUCCACUGGAUAACAACAAACAUUUUACUGGAAACUUGAACUGGUUGGAAUAUUAAGAUACCUACUUCAUUAUUUUAGCAGAACAAGCAGGAAGAGAAAAGUACUUAUCCUCCUUAGAUGUGACAUAUGUGAAAGUGAGGACAUCAGCAUGCGUAUACUUAAGUUUCCAGAAAAAGUAAUAUGCAAUUUCCUCAGAACGAAAGAGGCUGGCACGAGCCACUGACCAGAAGCACUAUGGAGCUCUUCACUUUUGUUGAGGGGAAAAAAAUAAACAAAGCCACAGACAUUUUAGGAAAAAGUUAGUUGAUCAGAUUUAGCAAGAAACGUCAUAACAGCUUUCCGUCUACCUUCCUUUCCUUUUCAGUAGGUAAAGGCUGACUGCUACCAGGGUGAUGCCAACAUGGAUUGAAAAUAUAUGAAUCCAUCCUGCUCCAAAUGCCACAAUAAGAGUACGCUCAAAUAUUUAAUACGUGAAUUCAGUUAAUUAGAACCUUGGACACCGGUUGUCACAGUGGUUGUGAACUCUGACUUAAUGUAACCUUAAAUCAUGAUCUUAAUAAGAGAUCUGGAGUUACAGGGGAUGGUUAAUAUUUGUACCUAUGGUACUAUGCUUCUGGAAUGGUUUAACUUGGUUUAGUGUUACCAUUUCAGAGUUUCAAGGAGGAUUCGUGAGAUUGAAGUGUGGCUUACACCAACACAGUGUGCCAUGGCUGAGCUGUGAAUCGUCGUCUUUAAAUAAUAAUGCUCUCAGAGCACUUUCAAGCUCACUGAUACUUGGACUCCUGAAUUUGUCUUAUACACCAGGACUGUUCUUGUUUUGCCUUCUCUCUAAGCAGAGGAAUGAGGAUAUCAGGACUAAGCUGUUAUGUGCAGGUUGAAAAAAAAAAAUAAUAAUAAUAAUAAUUUAAAAAUGGUAGAGAAUCAAGAAAGAGGAUCAAGGAAACAAAGUAUCACACUUCUCUUCUUUAGGCCGAAAUAAAAAUGAAGUAUUAGAUAUGGGUUUUAGAAGUGCUUCACUUCACUGUUGUUAUUUUCUGUUUUGUUGAGUGGAGCCAAUCUCUUUGUUUAAAUAGAGCUUCUGGUAAUAAUGUUUGGGCAAAAAACAUGUAACCAAAACUGAAGUUACUAAUAGCUUUCUCUGGAGGGCGUUUCAUUACCUGUGAUAUUUACGUGUGGAAUGAAUCGUGUCCAAAAGACUUCUAGAUUAGAAAGUUAGGACAGAGUCCCAGUACAAAUUAAUCUAUUUUUGUGAUGGUGCUGUCGUGCGGUUCUUGCAUUAGGUGAAGGCUCUGCUCCAUAAGCAUUUACCACUUUUCAUUCUGAUUACUUUCCGUUCAGUGUAAAUGUAUGCCAUGAAGUAAAUGCUUCUCUUUUCGACUUUAAUCAAUAAGAACUGCAGGGUUUCAGCUACACCUAGUGGACAAACGCCCAGUACUGCAGCCUUUCUGGAGUCAUUCGUCACGUUAAAUUGUUCCUUCUCCGUUUCAAUAUUUAAACUGUGAUUUGAACCAAAACGCCUCCAACCACAUUUCAGCCAUUUAAACAGAGGCUUUGAAAAUUCUGUAUGAUUAUCUCUGUGUUAUCUUUAAUGUAAAGUGCUUGAUUAAAUGGUCUGGCAAGAGGAUGUUGUCUCAGAAGGUAAGAGUGAGGGAAGAGGAGCAGCAGUCCCACCAUGGGCACUGCUGGCUUCCAGUGCAGUGCAGCUGGUCCCAUUCCACAAAGCAGGACAUGGGAUGAGAUGCCUGUCAGAAGCUUCUGUUGGCCUUGUAGGGUAAAGUCACACACGAGGUGAUGUGUGGGAUCAGCUGUCACCCUCCCCUGCACAGUUGCAACCGCACGAGGUCAGCAUGCAUCCCAAAGGCAAACACACCAUCCCCUCAGAACACCUUCAUAGAAUCAUAGAAUCCUUAGAGUUGGAAUGGACCGGUGAGGGCCAUCUUGUUCAACUCACCUGCAAUGGUCAGGGAUACCACAGCUAGAUCAGGUUUCUUUCAAUGACUUGGUUUUGCCCUGAUUAAACCUAGGUGAGGAGAAGAGAAAACAUGGGGUCUGUGAUACCUCCUGGCCACUAAAGAACUACACUGUGUGAGUCCAAAUUAUUGGAUUAUAGAGGUUUUAAAAAUGGAGAAGUUGGCUUGAAGGAGGCCUAAGCACAGGCUCCAAGUCUGUGUUUUGGCUAAAACAGCUUAUAGAAUGCUGUUGGACUGGGAAUGGGACUGUUCCCCUGACAUCUAAUCCCUAAAACUUUGUAGUGACUGUAACUUUUUUUUAAAUUAUUUUUUCCUUACCACUUAGAAAUGUGUGAAUCACUCAUCUCCACACCAUGCAUAUGCCUUGUCCUUCACCUCCUUGGUGGAUCACACAAUAGCCUUAGUGCAGCCUGCAGAGAAGCAGCCCAGCACCCUACCUCAGAGCAACCCAAAUUAUCACUAUUUAGCUUCUGUACAAAACAGGUGCGUGCAGAGGCUUGGUGCAAUGAUUUGUCUUUGGAAAAUUCCAGGAAUCCACUCCUGCC